UCCUACGGGAGGCAGCACUCAGGAAUAUUGGUCAAUGGAGGAGGAGCCUGAUCAGCCACGCCGCGUGCAGGAUUAACGGCUUCGGAUCGUUGAAGUUCGGUUUUGGUGGAAGAUAAUAGAUGGGGCACCGCGCUGCCGUUUUUGCGUUUACCCUUCGUGAUAAGGACCGGCUAAUUACGUGCCAGCGCGCGCGGUAUCUACGAAAUGUGCAGGCUAUUAUCCGGAUUUAUUGGGUUUACAGGGAGUGUAUGCGGUCUGUUAAGCGUGCUCUGAAAUUCAGGUGCUCAACAUCUACCUUGCAGCGCGAACUGAAAGGACUUGACUGCACGCAACGUAUGCAUAAUUCAUGGUGUAGCGGAAAAAUGCUUACAUAUCAUGACUAACUCCCAUUGCCAAAGCCUCAUACGGGAAUGUUACUGACGCUUAAACUCUUAGGUGCCCCUAUCGAACACGAUUAAAUACACUGGUACUCCGCCAGCGGUAAACGAUGGAUGCCCGCUGUUAGCGCCUGGCGUUAGCGGCUAACCCCAAAGCAUUAAGCAUCCCACCUGGGGAGUACGCCGGCNUACGGUGGAAACUCAAAGGAAAUUGACGGA
rnacentral:rRNA from 1 species